GUAAACGGCGGCCGUAACUAUAACGGUCCUAAGGUAGCGAAAUUCCUUGUCGGGUAAGUUCCGACCUGCACGAAUGGCGUAAUGAUGGCCAGGCUGUCUCCACCCGAGACUCAGUGAAAUUGAACUCGCUGUGAAGAUGCAGUGUACCCGCGGCAAGACGGAAAGACCCCGUGAACCUUUACUAUAGCUUGACACUGAACACUGGUCCUUGAUGUGUAGGAUAGGUGGGAGGCUUUGAAGCGUGGACGCCAGUCUGCGUGGAGCCAACCUUGAAAUACCACCCUUUAAUGGCUGGUGUUCUAACGUAGACCCGUAAUCCGGGUUGCGGACAGUGUCUGGUGGGUAGUUUGACUGGGGCGGUCUCCUCCCAAAGAGUAACGGAGGAGCACGAAGGUUGGCUAAUCCUGGUCGGACAUCAGGAGGUUAGUGCAAUGGCAUAAGCCAGCUUGACUGCGAGCGUGACGGCGCGAGCAGGUGCGAAAGCAGGUCAUAGUGAUCCGGUGGUUCUGAAUGGAAGGGCCAUCGCUCAACGGAUAAAAGGUACUCCGGGGAUAACAGGCUGAUACCGCCCAAGAGUUCAUAUCGACGGCGGUGUUUGGCACCUCGAUGUCGGCUCAUCACAUCCUGGGGCUGAAGUAGGUCCCAAGGGUAUGGCUGUUCGCCAUUUAAAGUGGUACGCGAGCUGGGUUUAGAACGUCGUGAGACAGUUCGGUCCCUAUCUGCCGUGGGCGCUGGAGAAUUGAGGGGGGCUGCUCCUAGUACGAGAGGACCGGAGUGGACGCAUCACUGGUGUUCGGGUUGUCAUGCCAAUGGCACUGCCCGGUAGCUAAAUGCGGAAGAGAUAAGUGCUGAAAGCAUCUAAGCACGAAACUUGCCCCGAGAUGAGUUCUCCCUGAGACCUUGAGUCUCCUGAAGGAACGUUGAAGACGACGACGUUGAUAGGUCGGGUGUGUAAGCGCAGCGAUGCGUUGAGCUAACCGAUACUAAUGAACCGUGAGGCUUAACCUU
rnacentral:rRNA from 1 species